AAAAAGCUUCAAACUGGGAUUAGAUACCCCACUAUGCCAAACCGUAAAAUCACUUACACUAAUAUCGCCAGGGUACUACGAGCCUAGCUUAAAACCCAAAGGACUUGACGGUAUUCCACCCAACUAGAGGAGCUUGUCCUAUAAUCGAUAAUCCACGUUAUACCUAACCAUUUUUUGCUUUUCAGCCUGUAUACCUCCGUCAUAAGCUUACCGUAUGAGCGCAUAAUAGUAGGCCUAAUGGUUUAUAACCUCACACCAUCACGCCAGGUCAAGGUGCAGCUAAUAAAAUGGAAGAGAUGAGCUACAAUUUCUACCCUAGAACAAACAAAACGCUGAAUGAAAUACAGCUAAAAGGUGGAUUUAGAAGUAAGUGGGGAAUAAAGAGCCCUACUUAAAUCGGCCCUGGAAUGUGUACACACCGCCCGUCACCCUC
rnacentral:rRNA from 1 species